GUGAGGAAUAUUGCGCAAUGGAGGCAACUCUGACGCAGCCAUGCCGCGUGCAGGAAGAAGGCGCUACGCGUUGUAAACUGCUUUUAACCGGGAAGAAACCCCAGGACGUGUCCUGGGUUGACGGUACCGGAGGAAUAAGCACCGGCUAACUUCGUGCCAGCAGCCGCGGUAAUACGAAGGGUGCAAGCGUUAUCCGGAUUCAUUGGGUUUAAAGGGUGCGUAGGCGGAGCGUUAAGUCAGUGGUGAAGUCCUGCAGCUUAACUGAAGACUUGCCAUUGAUACUGGCGCUCUUGAGUGCGCGUGAAGUGGGCGGAAUGUGCCGUGUAGCGGUGAAAUGCUUAGAUAUGGCACAGAACACCAAUUGCGAAGGCAGCUCACUAAGGCGAUACUGACGCUGAGGCACGAAAGCGUGGGGAUCGAACAGGAUUAGAUACCCUAGUAGUCC
rnacentral:rRNA from 1 species